GAUGAACGCUGGCGGCGUGCUUAACACAUGCAAGUCGAACGAAGCACCUCUCCCGAAGCUUGACACAGCUUGCUGUAGAUUGAUUCAUUUGAGGUGACUGAGUGGCGGACGGGUGAGUAACGCGUGGGUAACCUGCCUCAUAGAGGGGGACAACAGUUGGAAACGACUGCUAAUACCGCAUAGUAAGAAGAAUUCGCAUGUUUUCUUCUUGAAAGAUUUAUCGCUAUGAGAUGGACCCGCGUCUGAUUAGCUAGUUGGUAAGGUAACGGCUUACCAAGGCGACUAUCAGUAGCCGGCUUGAGAGAGUGAACGGCCACAUUGGGACUGAGACACGGCCCAAACUCCUACGGGAGGCAGCAGUGGGGAAUAUUGCACAAUGGGGGAAACCCUGAUGCAGCGACGCCGCGUGAGUGAAGAAGUAUUUCGGUAUGUAAAGCUCUAUCAGCAGGGAAGAUAAUGACGGUACCUGACUAAGAAGCCCCGGCUAACUACGUG
rnacentral:rRNA from 1 species